GAUGAACGCUGGCGGCGUGCUUAACACAUGCAAGUCGAACGGAAAGGCUCCUGCUUGCAGGGGUACUCGAGUGGCGAACGGGUGAGUAACACGUGGGUGAUCUGCCCUGCACUUCAGGAUAAGCCUGGGAAACUGGGUCUAAUACCGGAUAGGACGAUGGUUUGGAUGCCAUUGUGGAAAGUUUUUUCGGUGUGGGAUGAGCUCGCGGCCUAUCAGCUUGUUGGUGGGGUAAUGGCCUACCAAGGCGUUGACGGGUAGCCGGCCUGAGAGGGUGUACGGCCACAUUGGGACUGAGAUACGGCCCAGACUCCUACGGGAGGCAGCAGUGGGGAAUAUUGCACAAUGGGCGGAAGCCUGAUGCAGCGACGCCGCGUGGGGGAUGACGGCCUUCGGGUUGUAAACUGCUUUCGCUAGGGACGAAGCGCAAGUGACGGUACCUGGAGAAGAAGCACCGGCUAACUACGUG
rnacentral:rRNA from 1 species